AGAGUUUGAUCAUGGCUCAGGACGAAUGCUGGCGGCGUGCUUAACACAUGCAAGUCGAACGGUGAAGGAGGGCUUGCCCUCCGGAUCAGUGGCGAACGGGUGAGUAACACGUGGGCAACCUACCCUUCACUCUGGGAUAACCUCGGGAAACCGGGGCUAAUACCGGAUAUGACCUGGAGCGACAUCACUCUUGGUGGAAAGAACUUCGGUGAAGGAUGGGCCCGCGGCCUAUCAGCUAGUUGGUGGGGUAACGGCCCACCAAGGCGACGACGGGUAGCCGGCCUGAGAGGGCGACCGGCCACACUGGGACUGAGACACGGCCCAGACUCCUACGGGAGGCAGCAGUGGGGAAUAUUGCGCAAUGGGCGAAAGCCUGACGCAGCGACGCCGCGUGAGGGACGAAGGCCUUCGGGUUGUAAACCUCUUUCAGCAGGGACGAAGCGAAAGUGACGGUACCUGCAGAAGAAGCACCGGCUAACUACAUGCCAGCAGCCGCGGUAAUACGUAGGGUGCAAGCAUUGUCCGGAUUUAUUGGGCGUAAAGAGCUCGUAGGCGGCUUGUCACGUCGGGUGUGAAAACUCGGGGCUCAACCCCGAGCCUGCACUCGAUACGGGCUAGCUAGAGUAUUGNAGGGGAGACUGGAAUUCCUGGUGUAGCGGUGAANUGCGCAGAUNUCNNNGGAACACCGGUGGCGAAGGCGGGUCUCUGGGCAAUUACUGACNCUGAGGAGCGAAANCGUGGGGAGCGAACAGGAUUANAUACCCUGNAGUCCACNNCNUAAANGNNGGNNGCUAGNNGUGGGGAACCUUCCACGUUCUNNGU
rnacentral:rRNA from 1 species